rnacentral:rRNA from 1 species
CCUACGGGAGGCAGCAGUGGGGAAUAAUGGACAAUGGGGGCAACCCUGAUCCAGCCAUGCCGCGUGUGUGAAGAAGGCCCUCGGGUUGUAAAGCACUUUCAGUGAGGAAGAACGCCUGGUGGUUAAUACCCAUCAGGAAAGACAUCACUCACAGAAGAAGCACCGGCUAACUCCGUGCCAGCAGCCGCGGUAAUACGGAGGGUGCGAGCGUUAAUCGGAAUUACUGGGCGUAAAGCGCGCGUAGGUGGCUUGAUAAGCCGGUUGUGAAAGCCCCGGGCUCAACCUGGGAACGGCAUCCGGAACUGUCAAGCUAGAGUGCAGGAGAGGAAGGUAGAAUUCCCGGUGUAGCGGUGAAAUGCGUAGAGAUCGGGAGGAAUACCAGUGGCGAAGGCGGCCUUCUGGACUGACACUGACACUGAGGUGCGAAAGCGUGGGUAGCAAACAGGAUUAGAUACCCGUGUAGUC